GACGGAGGAUGCAAGUGUUAUCCGGAAUCACUGGGCGUAAAGCGUCUGUAGGUGGUUCGAAAGUCCACUGUUAAAAAUUGAGGCUUAACCUCAAAGAUGCCGUGGAAACUUUCAAACUAGAGUAUGGUAGGGGUAGAGGGAAUUUCCAGUGGAGCGGUGAAAUGCGUAGAUAUUGGAAGACAUCAGUGGCGAAGGCGGCUUACUGGACCGGUUCUGACGCUGAGGCGCGAAAGCG
rnacentral:rRNA from 1 species